rnacentral:lncRNA from 1 species
GGCGCUUUCACAGGAAGUAGCUCCAGCACAAUCCACUGUGUCUGGCAAUCUGGGAGGCACGUCCAGGUCGAGGGCUAUUCUGUGAAUCCAAGAUCUCAGACUUCUCCAGACCGCUUUUGAGUUGCAAUAGAAGUACUUUCGCAUUUCUAAGACUCUUGAAAAGCAGCGGAAAAAACUUCCUCAGGUGCCGCAGCAGCAGCGAGACUUCCAGUACCACCCGGACGGCCCUCAGGUUCCUAAAAGCCUCUGCAGGUAUUCCCACCCGGGUCUGGCCCUGUAUACAGUGCAAGAGAUCGCCAGAAUCAAAGAUGAGCCAAUUUCCCAUAUCUUAGCCACUCUGCAUGAGAAUACCUGUCGCCUCUACAAUCUUUAAUCCAAAAGGACACAGUCAGGAGUCUUCCAAAAAAGGGAGACCAGCAGCCUGACAAAAUACAGACUGGAUUUGAACACUGUCUGUGUCCCAGGUCAACAAUACAUUCAAGAUUCCAUGGAAACAGAAAAAAAGAUAUCUUCCUAAAAACCUCUUCAUAAGACUUCUGCUUCUGGCUGGUAGGGUUGGGUACACUGUGAUGGGAGGAGGACUUAAGGAGAACAGCCCUUGCUGUUAUUAAGGUUCUACCUUCAGCCAAAAUGCUAAAUAGUAAAUAAGAAAGAGUUCUCUGCAGCCUAUUUUUGAGCAGUUGGUGACUAAAAUCACUCUCCUGCUUUUUUUUUUUUUAAGUAAUGUUAAACUUUAAAAGUGAGGUGAUUUGCUCUGUUUAUUCUCAAAGCAUGU